AACGAACGCUGGCGGCAUGCCUAACACAUGCAAGUCGAACGAGACCUUCGGGUCUAGUGGCGCACGGGUGCGUAACGCGUGGGAACCUGCCCUUAGGUUCGGAAUAACUCCCCGAAAGGGGUGCUAAUACCGGAUAAUGUCUUCGGACCAAAGAUUUAUCGCCUUUGGAUGGGCCCGCGUUGGAUUAGCUAGUUGGUAGGGUAAAAGCCUACCAAGGCGACGAUCCAUAGCUGGUCUGAGAGGAUGAUCAGCCACACUGGGACCGAGACACGGCCCAGACUCCUACGGGAGGCAGCAGUGGGGAAUAUUGGACAAUGGGCGAAAGCCUGAUCCAGCAAUGCCGCGUGAGUGAUGAAGGCCUUAGGGUUGUAAAGCUCUUUUACCCGGGAUGAUAAUGACAGUACCGGGAGAAUAAGCUCCGACUAACUCCGUG
rnacentral:rRNA from 1 species